UGGGGAAUAUUGGACAAUGGGCGCAAGCCUGAUCCAGCCAUGCCGCGUGAGUGAUGAAGGCCCUAGGGUUGUAAAGCUCUUUCACCGGUGAAGAUAAUGACGGUAACCGGAGAAGAAGCCCCGGCUAACUUCGUGCCAGCAGCCGCGGUAAUACGAAGGGGGCUAGCGUUGUUCGGAUUUACUGGGCGUAAAGCGCACGUAGGCGGACUUUUAAGUCAGGGGUGAAAUCCCGGGGCUCAACCCCGGAACUGCCUUUGAUACUGGAAGUCUUGAGUAUGGUAGAGGUGAGGGGAAUUCCGAGUGUAGAAGUGAAAUUCGUAGAUAUUCGGAGGAACACCAGUGGCGAAGGCGGCUCACUGGACCAUUACUGACGCUGAGGUGCGAAAGCGUGGGGAGCAAACAGG
rnacentral:rRNA from 1 species